UUCUGAGCAGCCCUUGUAAGUAAGCUUUAUUUCUAUAGCACUUUUCACAGACAAAAAAGUCACAAAGUGCUUCACAAAAUUAAAUUAAAAUAUACACUUAACAGAUAUACUCAUGCACAUAACAUACAAAUAUACACAGAUACACAAAAACAUACAAAACCAUAUUGCUAAUUAAAUGCUUGUCUAAAAAGAUGCGUCUUAAGGCAUUUUUUAAAAGCUUCCACUGAAUCCAAAGCUCUCAAGGCUAAUGGAAGGGAGUUCCAGAGCCUUGGAGCCACCACACAGAAGGCUCGGUCACCUCUUGUUUUAAAACGUGUUCUAGGAACAGUUAAAAGGUCUUGACCAGAAGACC